rnacentral:rRNA from 1 species
GACGAACGCUGGCGGCGUGCUUAACACAUGCAAGUCGAACGGAAAGGCCCUGCUUUUGUGGGGUGCUCGAGUGGCGAACGGGUGAGUAACACGUGAGUAACCUGCCCUUGACUUUGGGAUAACUUCAGGAAACUGGGGCUAAUACCGGAUAGGAUCUCCUGCUGCAUGGUGGGGGUUGGAAAGUUUCGGCGGGUGGGGAUGGACUCGCGGCUUACCAGCUUGUUGGUGGGGUAGUGGCUUACCAAGGCUUUGACGGGUAGCCGGCCUGAGAGGGUGACCGGCCACAUUGGGACUGAGAUACGGCCCAGACGCCUACGGGAGGCAGCAGUGGGGAAUAUUGCACAAUGGGCGGAAGCCUGAUGCAGCAACGCCGCGUGCGGGAUGACGGCCUUCGGGUUGUAAACCGCUUUCGCCUGUGACGAAGCGUGAGUGACGGUAAUGGGUAAAGAAGCAACGGCUAACUACGUG